CCACAGUAGUGUUGUUCUCCCUCACGUUUGCCCUAGAAUUGACGCGAGCGAGAACGGGCUCUUAAACCCAGUGCACGACCAAAUAUCUUACACCCAGUACACCAACACAGCUCGAAAACAAAUGCUUCAGUAACGCGAUCAAGACCUGAUGGAAAACGCGUUUUCGUGAAAAUAGGGCAAGGAAGAAAAGAAAGAGAGAAGAGAAGGUGGAAGAGGGAAUGAGAUACCUAAAAUGGCAGCCUUGAAUCGAAGGAAAACCCUAGCUUGACACAGAACGCACGGAUGAAAACGGCACUUGGAACAGAGCAGAGACGAGAGAGCCACACGAGACAGAUUCCGGUGAGUAAUAGCUGAAACUAUUACAACCUCGUAGCAGAACUGGGAAGCAGAAAUCAACCACGCAUAUAACCUUGUAAUAGAAGUGCGAAGCAGAAAUCAAAUAUGCAUACCCUCGUAGGAGAAGCGCGAAGAAGAAAAUCGAAGACGCAG
rnacentral:lncRNA from 1 species